GGCCUAAGGGCAGACCCAAAGGGGAGGAUCAGACCUAAUAUGCCCCAAACCCUAAUUUUGUGCUCUUUUCGUAAAACAAAACCCUUGUGCCUCCUUGAGCAGCCACACUCUUUGUUAGGGUUUGCCUUCUCGCCGCUUCCAAGUCUGCUCAAGCUGUUCCUAUUCCACCUCCAAGAGUACUCCUCGUUCUGUUGAGUCUGUGUCUACCAUCGAGGUCCCGUAUUAAUCCUUUCCAGUGAGAAAUCUUGGUGGCGCCUCAUCUGUUGGACGUAAUU